AUGUCUGAUAACAGUAUUCAACGAGCAUUGCUACCUGAUAACCCUGAUGCCAAUGUGCUCCAAACAAAGCCUUCGCAGGGAGCCAAGCGGUUCCGGAGAUGCAGGUCGGCUCCCAGAUCAGAGACCGAUGAAAAACCACAAGAAAAUGGCUCGUCGCUUCCAGCCAAGGAGUUGUUCAGCGUGGUGCGGCCGAGCUUCAGACUAGUAGGGUUCCUCCUAUUUCUCUACCUACUAGCAGGCGUCAUCGUCUUUUACCUUGUCAUGGAUCAGUUAUCUGGCAAGAGAACCAACAGAGUGCUUGACGCACUGUACUUCUGCAUUGUCACGAUGACAUCGGUUGGCUAUGGAGACCUUGUCCCUAACACAGACACGACGAAGCUGCUCGCCUGUGUUUUCGUCUUCACGGGCAUGGCGAUCAUUGCUCUCUUCGUGAGCAAGUCAGCAGACUAUCUCGUCGAGAAGCAGGAGGUGUUGUUCUUCAAGGCACUGCACAUGAACAUGAAGUGUGGCGAGGCCAAAAUGCUCAGACAAAUUGAGACAAACAAGACAAAGUACAAAUUCUACACGGCCGCUCUGCUUCUUGUGACGGCCAUUGUUGUGGGGACUGUUUUUCUCUGGAAGGUUGAGAAGCUGAGCCUUGUUGACUCCUUUUAUUGUGUCUGUGCCACAAUCACUACCCUGGGUUAUGGGGAUAAAAGCUUCUCGUCCCAAUUGGGGCGCACUUUCGCGGUGUUUUGGAUAAUUACAAGCACCAUAAUUCUGGCGCUGUUCUUCAUGUACCUCGCUGAGAUCUACACCGAGCGACGGCAGAAGAUGCUGGCCAAAUGGGUUCUCACACGGAGAGUAACAACCAUGGAUCUUGAAGCAGCUGAUCUGGAUAGUGAUCGGAAAGUGGGUGCUGCUGAAUUUGUCGUGUACAAGCUCAAAGAACUGGGGAAGAUCAGCCAAGAGGACAUAUCUUCUUUUCUAGAGGAGUUUGACAAACUCGACAUUGACCAGUCCGGCACGCUCUCCACAUAUGACCUUACUCAGGCACAAUCCGGUCAGUGA
rnacentral:rRNA from 1 species